CUUCAGUGAUGAUACGAUGACGAGUCAGAACGGACAUGGUUUGUCUCUGGGGUCACUGACUCAGGGUCACGUUCUGUGUCUCUGGGUUCAGUUACCCAGAGCAGCGUGUCUUCAGUUGAAGACAUCGAGGCAUUUGUCUGAGAAGG
rfam:Salmo salar isolate Sally breed double haploid chromosome ssa20, whole genome shotgun sequence.